rnacentral:rRNA from 1 species
GAUGAACGCUGGCGGCGUGCCUAAUACAUGCAAGUCGAGCGAACAGACGAGGAGCUUGCUCCUCUGACGUUAGCGGCGGACGGGUGAGUAACACGUGGAUAACCUACCUAUAAGACUGGGAUAACUUCGGGAAACCGGAGCUAAUACCGGAUAAUAUAUUGAACCGCAUGGUUCAAUAGUGAAAGACGGUUUUGCUGUCACUUAUAGAUGGAUCCGCGCCGCAUUAGCUAGUUGGUAAGGUAACGGCUUACCAAGGCAACGAUGCGUAGCCGACCUGAGAGGGUGAUCGGCCACACUGGAACUGAGACACGGUCCAGACUCCUACGGGGGGCAGCAGUAGAGAAUCUUCCGCAAUGGGCGAAAGCCUGACGGAGCAACGCCGCGUGAGUGAUGAAGGUCUUCGGAUCGUAAAACUCUGUUAUUAGGGAAGAACAAAUGUGUAAGUAACUAUGCACGUCUUGACGGUACCUAAUCAGAAAGCCACGGCUAACUACGUG